AAAUGUAUUAUUGUGACGGAAAUUAAUGUGAAUGGAUUAAAUUAUAUAGCCCCUUUCCAGUCUGACUGGAAAGGGGCUAUAUAAAAGUACUCAAAGUACUUACAGUGCCGCUCUAUUCACUAAUUCACACUCACAUUAUAAACACGUACAUUUUUAGAUUUGUGAUUUUGCACAUUUCCCUUCUGUAGCAAUGCAGACAGAGAAUUGGUUAUGGAAUUCAUACUCUUAAUUUGAAGGGCAAACACCACUUCCGGUUUCAGUGUCAUUUCUGGCACAGACAGAAACCAGCAGACUGGUUAUGUGCUUGAUCUGUUACCCACAAUAUCGCUUGCAGACGCACGUACACACGCACAUGUGCACAGAUCUGUUGUUGGGAGAGGACUGAUAGGGGGCAGGGAGAGAAUAAAUGACACACACACUCUCUCUCUUUCCUGCAGAACUCAUAUUUGGGCUCUCCACUAAGCCACAUCCGUAAAGCAAAAAUCUGUGCCUUCAGACUUUCACCUCGGAAACAAAAGUAAGAAAAUAGCAUCGAAAUUUGUUCAGACAAAUAGCCAUUUCCGAACACCUGUUGAAUUAAAUGGCUUUUAUGCACAAAUUAUAGAAGCCACCUGCAUUUUUUUUUCUUACUUUGCCUAUAUGACAUAAACAUAGUUUUGGUCAUACAAGAUAUCAAUAACAAAAAAAAUACAGCAUAUUUUACACUACUUAAAACAAUCCUUAUCAAAGACACUACUCCAGUAACCAUAUUAAACUGUUUCACAUUUUGACUAUUUUAAUAUGUUUUACUAUGUGUGAACGACAAACACAAAACAGUCAGUACCUGUGAAGUUGAAGGGGAAUGAUUCAUGGUUUUGAAAUCUGAGUGGGUGUUGCAUUUGUGUUCAGUAUGGUACCCCAAAAUUAAAUGUCAAACCGCCAACUCCCCUCAGAAGUAAAUAGUUAAUACUUCUGUGUUCAAUUUAAUGUCCAGCUGUUCAGGAAAGUCCUCAAAAGUUUGUUAAAGAACAUCAAGUUGCAGAGAUACACGGCUCAGGUGGGUGGGAAAUACCGUCAACAGGACAGGACAGAUAUUAGUUGGUCACCCCACAACAUUGGAUAUCUGGGUAGCAGCCAGAAAACCAUAAGAAAUAUCAUUUGCAAAAUGCCAUGAUCCAUAUAGAAUACAAAGCAAAAUGGGGAAAAAAGGUCAGUCUGGUCAUUUGAGACCAAAAAUUCCAGUGAUAAAUGGUAAGGGGAUGUUGUUUUUUUUCCUUCAAGAUGGAAAUUUCUUGUCUGAACUAGAAAAAACUGAGGCCAUUCUUUUCUUUUUAAUGAAAUGAAAUAAAUCAGUCUGUCAUUUGGAUAGCAUCUGCACCAGAUGGUGCUCUCAAAUAAUUAAAAAGCCUGUUUCUACCUGUCGAUAAAAACAAGAGGAAUGCAGCUCACCAGCCUGAGUGAGGCCAGGUAGAGGCAGACAACCUCUCUGUCCUGCAUUUAUUGCCCUCUCUCUUGAAAUUCAUUUGUGCCCUGUAAAAGCAGCUUUGGCAAACAUUAUGGUGGGUUUGGUCAUCUUGCAGUGAAGCUUCUCCUGUUGCAUUGUUGAUUUUAUUGAUCUGCUUUUAAAGAUUUACCUGUUUUUGAAUAUAGUCCUCCAACUUCUCCAAUGCUAUCUUUGCUCCAGACUCCUUAUCUACAAGCUGUGACCAAUCCAGCUGUGCGCUGCAACCUCUACAACUGACAAUGCUGUCUGUGUGAAAACAAACUCCUUCACACAAAGUUUCCAUUCAUUGUUGCUAGUUCAUGCAUGCCCCCAAGCACUGCUGCACAGAUGGGCCUAAACCCCAGAACAAAUGAAACCAGAGAGCUGUUUGACCUUCACAUGAGAAGAUCAGGAGUUAAUUAUGAACACACAAAGUUUACCGUCUCCUGCUUCUUCGUGAAGAGUAAAUGUGACGUUAACAGAGUGUUUAUGCAAACAUUGAAUCAUCGUCAUUCUGCAUUGUCAGGCAAAGAGCGUUUUAUUUCCAAGCACGUAAAAUGAUGCAUUUGCAAACAAUCUUUACAUUUUAUUUGUAUUAAGGUUUUUUUUUUUGUUGUUUUUUUGUAGAAAUAGCCAUUCUAUAUUUUAAUAUACUGCAUGCUAAUUAAUUUUGAAAUAAAUAUCUUAUCAACAACUUUUGCUGCUUAACCCCAGGGUUUAUUUUUUUUUCUUUGGAUUAUAACUGUUAUCACAAACAACUCCUAAAUUAUGUUGUGAUGCUACACCGUAACAUAAUGACACUUUGUUUGGAGCAAUCCAGCCUGAAUGUACAAAACGUAUAUAAUCCCUUUGCAGAUUCACACACAAACACUAGUCAAAUUCAAAUAAAAAGAAUACAUGAAAAACAAUAGAUGAUGCUGAUAAUGAUGAUGAGUUUAAUAUAAAAUAAAAAAAACAACAAAAAAAAAUGUGAAAUCAGAAAGAUUAAAUUUUGAUGGGGGGUUUUCUGCUAAGAAUUUUUGUCUGAUAAUUUGUGUGUUUGUUUUUUGAGGAAUUGUGCCCUCAACAUUAAACAGAAAGACACCAACAGCGCCCUCUGCUGAUCAUUUUUUUAUUAAAUGCGAAAUGUAAACCCCUGGUAUAUUUUGUAAUAUUUCGUGUUCUGCGGUUCUUGUUUUUCAUUGUAUUUGUAAACAAACAUAUUCAUAAAAAAUAAAACAUUAAAACAUUUUACUUAAUUGCUCACAUUGUUUUAUGACAUUUCAGCUGGAUAAACGAAUAUAUAAAGUUAAAAACAUAAUCAGAAUGUAAUUUACCCAUUUAUUUUUUUCAUCAUUAUUGGUUUUUAGCCAUUUUUCUUUAGAAGACAAACAAUUUCUUGUAACACUAAAAGACCACAGUCAAGUUUUGUAACAAUAAUCUUCAUUUUGUUAGGAAACAAGAGUACACUACACACUCUUGGGAAAUUAUAUAUAUGUUUUGUAUAUAUAUUUUACUCUUAUCAAAAUAAAAACAUAUAAAUGGAAUUUAUUCUGGUCCUUCUUAUAUGGAGGACCAUAAUAUAUCCUACAAACAAAAUGUAUGUCAAGAAAAUGUGCAGAGAAGCAAGCAAAGACCAAUGAUGACACACACACAAAAAGAAAACAGUUUGCAUGGCAAACAUUAGCUCUGCCUGUAGCUUCGCUGCCCUCCACAUGACUCACCACACGACCUGAUUUUGAAACCACCGCUCUCAGUUUAUAGGUGCAGUAAUAAGACCUUUGGAUCAAUGUAACCUAUAAUUUUGUGUGUGUGUGUGUGUGAGGGGAGGGGGUGAUCCUGAAAUAAGAGACGUUCUAACCCCAAUAUCACAUUUCUAAUGAUGGCACAAGAGUAGAAAAGCACUUUGUGGGUGGCCAAUCACAUCACGGUUACACAAUGUGUAUUGAAUGGCACACCUUUUAGCAGAUGCUACCUGCCUUGCACAAACACACAAAAAUACGUAUGAUGAAAUCAGCCUAAACCAACUUUUGCAAAAGGAUGUAGAAUACAGAGAGUUCCCACUAGAAGAUGAGUAAACGAGAGCAUUAUUGUAUUUGGUGUAAAAGUCAAAGCAAUAAGCAGAAUAAAAACAUGAAUACAAUACAUGAGUUUCACUAAGAAAUAGACCUUUUGCUUUUUUGUUCAUCAUACACCAUUAAUCAGGUCAGGAAUGUCAGCGGAAAACCAAUCAUUUUUACAGACAUACCUAUUGCUGAGUAUGGAGCUGUUUGGACCAACUUCAUCUGUCUCACGAUUCCCACACAUUCCUGCUGGAGGCGGCUCACUGCCAGACUCUGCCUCGCUCACUAUCUAAAACGCAUCAGACUGUGUGAUAACAGAAGAAGACAGAUCUUCGCUCAGAGGAAGCAAAACACAUGUGAUCUGUCCAUUUGCAUUAGAUUUGCAUUAGAUAUUUCUUUUACUCUAUCCCAGUGCACGCAUUUACUAAUUAACUAUCCUUACUACAUAUUUAAAUAAUGGGAACUGUGGAAAUUUUAUCUGCAUAAAUUAUGCUCUGGACACUUUAGAAAGGGAUGAAAUUAAACUUUACUUAGUUGUUGUCGUCAUCAAACAAAAACGAGAAAACACUAUUAUGUUUGUGUGGAAAUGCUGUUUGGUUUACAUCACACAGGAGGCUGUAGUUUACUUUCGACAACACUUCCAAAUGACUUCUACAGUUUAUUUGUAAUUUAGUGUCAUGAACAUUAGCAUUGCUAACUGCUAACUGAGGCCUGAGAUUUUUUUUUAUUGAUUUUUUUUUUGUAAUUCAUCCUAAUUUAAAUUUAGGAUGAAUUUGCUAAGAUAUUCACUCUGGAAGCUAUUUUGAAUAUAUUCCACCCUAUAAUAAAAAUUUCCACAGUAGAAUGAAUGACUCCGAAUUGUUUUGCAUUUGCUUUAUAACCACUUUAUGACGUCUGUCUGUCUUGGUAUGAUGUUAGCAAACACCUGUUGGAUUCAGAGUAAACUUCUGCUUUUAUAAACAGGCGUAAACCUGCUGAUGAUUAGUUUAUUAUGUGUCUAAAUUAGUUGCAGCUUGCUGAUGCUUCUGUUUCAAUACCCAUGUCUUUUUUUUUUUUUUUUUUUUUUUUUUUUUUGGUUUAGUGAAAGACGACAGUGUGAAUUCAGUCUGUGCUUUUUCAAACUUGGGUCCAGAUUUAAAUAAAUAGAUAUUCCUUACUUUAGUUUGGGGCCAGCUGUACGGCUCAAGAAAUUACACCUACACAAAAAUGAACACAUCAAUACAUAUAUAAUUUUUUUUAAUAUCUUAAUCGCAAGCAAUACUUUUAAAAUCCUGAGAAGCAAAGAAAAUUGACAAACACACCGAGUACAAUGACAAUAAAAAGAUGACAAAACGUCAAGAGAAGACCUAAACAAAACCUUCCAGAGAACGACCACAAGCUUGAAAUAGCUGGCAACAACUGACAUCACCAGAUGCUCCUUUGCGACAAGCUGAUCUGGCAGAAAUUCCCGUACGCUCGCUGCAUCUGACAGACUUGUGUGAGCCUCCAUACAGAUCAGUGUCCUCAGCUGCCCCCAGAGUCGGCUCUCUAUAGGCUCCCUGCCAGAAUCUCAGCAAAUGUUUCACAGUGCACCUGUCUCACAGCCCAGAUGGUGACUGUGUCGUUAUUAGUCAGCUAAAUUAUCAAUAUAGCUGUUGCGCGGGACGCGAUGCCCAAUAUCAGCAUGCUGAGUCACGUAAUCCCUCUGAUAGUUGGUCUGACAUUUGCAGCUGGGAAGAGGAGUGAUACGCUAAAACACUUUCCAAAAAAAAAAAAAAAAAGAUUCGAGAUGAGGUCACUUUUGGGUCAGUAAAAAAUUCUUAAAACAUAAUAACGGCAUUGAAAUAGAAACUGUUGUGGCCUGAAAAUGCAUAAAUGCAUCUGCAACACUGGGUCAUUUAUUAGCAAAAGUUAUAUGGAAAAAGUGUUCAAAUAAAUAGGCUUUGUGUUACAGUUGCGUGCUCUACACCUAAAAAAAAAAUCUGCUCAUUUCCCUUAUGCUGUUGUAUAUUUAAACCUGUUUUUGUUGAAGUCACAGCAAGAGGUCAUCCAGUUAAAGUAAUCUUCUAGCAAUCUUCACACAGGAACUACAAUGAAAAAUAGAUAUUCAAAUCACUUUAUAAAAGAAGACCUUAUUUAUCUAAGCUAAGCUAAGAUUGAAGUGGAUGAGUGCAUUGUUACAUUGCGGAGAAAAAUGGUGGAGCUUCAGUACAUCAUCCCAUCUUUGAAGUACGGGAGUGCCAGCAUCAUGUUGUGUGGUUGACACGCUUCAGGAGAGACCAAUGAACUUCACAAAUAGGACAUAGCAUAAAGAAAGAACUUUAUGUGAAAAUCUGGAAGAAAAAAAAAAAAGGGUCUUUCAAGUGGAAAAUUAGCCCGAGCGCAAUAGUAAGUGAACUGCAACUUGACUUACUGUUUUGGAAUCACCACAAAGCUCUGAUUUCAGUUCCUCCUGAAAAUUUCAAGGCAGCCCUAACAAAGGUGUGUAAGAAAAGUGGCUACAAACUUGACUUAUGUUGCACCACUUCAGUCAGAAGGAACCAUGAUUUAAUAUCAGAUACCGGGGGGAAAAAAUGUAAAGGUUAUGUAGAUACCUGGUUGAAACAGAAGCUCACAUCUUUCAAUUUUAUAAGCUUUUACAAAGGUCAUGGAAAUUCAGCUCAACUCAAUUCUGAAACAAAAAAGAAAGAAAAAAAAAACCCAGAUGACAUCCCCGUCAAAUAUCCAAAGCUAAAAUAAAAAACAAACAAACAAACAAAAAAAAAACCCUCUCCUCACACAAACACGCUGCUGCUGAUUCAGGCCUUUUGAAAUCACACAGACAGCACCCCCGCCCAGUACGCACUCCAUCAGCUGAUUCGCCACAAUAACCCAACAACAAACCUGCUGCAGUCACGACAACAAACAGUUUAAACGCUCCCAGCGGAAAACCUGCAGUGACCUGGAAUGCAGUUGCGACACUAAGCGACGUAGCUGACACGGCAGCAGGCACAUCCGCCUCGUCACCAUCCAGUUCUGGGCAUUACCACAUAAUGGGGAAGUUGCUUCAAGUUCAGCAAAAUAAUAUUUUUUUUUUUUUUCAAAGAGAAUAACAGAUAUUUUCCUUUGUGUUCUGCUGUUUGCACCCGUGGCGAGUAUUAGCUGUACACGUCAACAUGGCUGUGGAGAUUAGUAGUAAAAACAUCACCUCACAAUCUUUAAGGAAGUUGUGUGUUCGUGCCAGCGGUAAAACGGACAAGCCUGAACCGUCAAUUAGCUGCUCGUCUAAUUGUUGAGCGCUCAGGACAAUGUUACUGUGAUAUGCACUUUUCUAAAUCCUGUUCUGAUGUCAAUUUACCUGGAGGCGUCUUCACAGCUGGGCACAAGAACGUCUGAAGGCUGGACACACAUAGCUCGCUCACCGUCCCCAUGGCCUCAGAGAGGGAUUCUGUAUCUGUGUGUGAAGUCGCCGUUAGUGGCCGAGCUGCUCCUUUGACACGCCGCUCAGCUCGGUGAAAAGGGGAAGUUCAAAAAAACCUUCAAUCCACACUGUGGCUGUUGACAGUAACUCCUUGUCAUAGAGAGACUCCCAGCUGUUUCCCUGAGUGGCUUUGCUUCACUUAAUCCCCGAGUCGGAUGACUUCUCUGCCUUCCCUUGCGAAAAAUAAAAAUCUCUCACACUCA